rnacentral:rRNA from 1 species
UGCCAGCCGCCGCGGUAAUACGGAGGGUGCAAGCGUUGUCCGGAUUUAUUGGGUUUAAAGGGUGCGUAGGCGGAUUUGUAAGUCAGUGGUGAAAUCCUGCGGCUUAACCGUAGAAUUGCCAUUGAUACUGCAGGUCUUGAGUAUGUCUGAGGUGGUUGGAAUGUGUAGUGUAACGGUGAAAUGCAUAGAGAUUACACAGAACACCGAUUGCGAAGGCAGAUCACUAAGACAUUACUGACGCUGAUGCACGAAAGCGUGGGUAGCGAACAGGAUUAGAUA